AGUUGAUCCAUCUGACCUAAUAAGUCGCUCUGGAUAAGAGCGUCUGCUAAAUGACUUAAA
rfam:Salmo salar isolate Sally breed double haploid chromosome ssa21, whole genome shotgun sequence.